CUAUAGUUCUCCCUGUCGCUGAAAAAUCAGCGACCGGAUUUGGCGAUCCGUUUA
rnacentral:ncRNA from 1 species